rnacentral:rRNA from 1 species
CGCUGGCGGCGUGCCUAACACAUGCAAGUCGAGCGAGGAGAUCCUCGGGAUGAUCCUAGCGGCGGACGGGUGAGUAACACGUGGGCAACCUGCCUCAUAGAGAGGAAUAGCCUUCCGAAAGGGAGAUUAAUACCUCAUAACAUUGCAGUUUCGCAUGGAACAGCAAUUAAAGGAGCAAUCCGCUAUCGAGAUGGGCCCGCGGCGACAUUUAGCUAGGUUGGUGAGGUAACGGCUCACCAAGGCGACGAUGCGUAGCCGACCUGAGAGGGUGAUCGGCCACAUUGGGACUGAGACACGGCCCAGACUCCUACGGGAGGCAGCAGUAGGGAAUCUUCCGCAAUGGACGAAAGUCUGACGGAGCAACGCCGCGUGAGUGAAGAAAAGGUUUUCGGAUCGUAAAACUCUGUUGUCAGAGAAGAACAAGUUGGAGAGUAACUGCUCCAGCCUUGACGGUAUCUGACCAGAAAGCCACGGCUAACUACGUGCCAGCCGCAGC